AGACCCCUAGCCUGGCAACCUCCAUGUGCCGCGGGUGCGGCCCUCAAAAGACAAAGGACGAAAAGAAAAGUUGAAAGAUUUCCUCUCCAUUAGUCACCUAGCCUGUCCCUUUCAAAGACCCCCCCAGAUGAAGGCAGGGUUUUCCUGACCUCGUCCUACGUUUAUUGACCCUUGCUGAGAUUCUCUACGUGCUUGUCCCUCCCCAUUCGACUCGGGAGGUUCAGGGGCCGUCGCAUAUUCAGUCUGCUUCCCAGGGCUGAUAUGCGGUAGGCACUCCAAGACUGAAUGAAGGCAUAGAUAUGCAGACUGGCUGAAGUGUGAAAGACGCGUCCAAUGCUUAGGGAAGCUAUUUCGCAGGGGUUCCAACUCUGCACUGGAAGUGUGUUAUUCAUCCCCGAGUGAUGUGUAAGCGCUGAAUUCUGUCAGACAAUAUUCCCCAAGCCUUUGACUUUUUGUGGAACACUUCCUAUUUUGUAGAUUGUUUCGGUGUGUGGUUUGAAAACUCCGCUGGGCAUCCCCAGACGGAGGCAUCCCGAGAAGGAGCUCCGCUGUUUAAGAGCAUUUUGUUCCUGACGUUUUAAAGCAUAGGUGACAGCUCUCAAUCCGUGGGUUGUCAUCCUCACCUCCAGAAAACCACAUUUCUUAUUGUUUGUGGCACCUAAGUCCCCUUCUCUAGAACUCCCCCUGUGGAAGCGAGCCUUCGGCAGAAUCUCAGAUCCACAGAGCCGGGGCCCCCACCGUCAGCUCUACCAUUUGUACCCAGACUUUUGAUAUUGAGAACAUGUUUUAUACGGUGUAUGUACUACCACUAAAAUGAAGAGGAAAAAGCUGCAAAAAAUGGCCUCAGAAUCGUUUGGUUUCGGAGUUCACUGGCGUUAAUUGUCUCACGGAUGCUGAUGAAAUGUGUCUGUUGACGUUUGGGAUAGACGGGAUGCAGACGGAGAUGAGAGAAUUCAGCUACCUCCCACCUCGCAAAAAGCAGCAAAGCAGAUGGUUCAUCCUGACGGACCAGCAGAACUUAGAGGAGCCAAAGCCCCAAAGACAGAGCCGUUCCUAGAACCGGGGAAUUUAGCCGUCCUUCUAGUCCUCCCUUCUGUCAGCCUCAUCCGCAGGACCACUGGCAAGGCUGAUUUCGAAUGAAUCAUCCUCGGCAUUUGCCCCCCUUCAAACUGCUUAUCCGUCACUUCAGGGAACUUGCUCCUUGUCCUCAGCGGCAUGCGGUAUCAGCUCAGACACUGUCCCCAGACCACAGAGUUGAAGAAAAUCCUGCAUUAUGUAUACAUAUACACAUGUGCAUUUAUUUCAAAUUGUCUACGUGUCGAUAAACUCAGCAGCUUGGCAGUGAAGGGCUUUACCACAGCCUUUCGGUCACUUAGCAGCCUGUGUUCGUCCAAGAGAGGUUAGAUGUGUGGCUUAGAGACGACCUUUAAAAAGCACUGAGACAUUCAUUUUCGCCACAGCUCUAGCAGCGUCACUUCUACUUAGGAGACCUGCAUAUUUCUUGACACUUUAAAAUUUUUUUUCUUGAUCCAGUAGCAUAUUGUUUAAAUUUUUUAUUUAUUUUUAAUUACUCAAUGAAUUUUAUCACGUUCGUAGUUGCACAAUGAUCAUCACAACCCGAUUUUAUAGCAUCCUCGACACCUUCGAAUGUUUGUAAACUGUGUUCAUGAUAACAUCUCCUUCUGCUUUAAGACAACGCCGGCCCCUUCAGCGCGUGUGUCUUCAAGGCACAGAGCUAGAGUGUCUUCACUUCUCAUCAAAUCCAGGCACACGCUCGACGAUGAGUGGAAAUCGGGCUUACGGCCCCCACGCCCAGCGCCCUGGUAGGCAGAGUGAGCGGGCCGCUGAGAAAGAGCUGAGCCGCCACACCUUGCCCAGGCGGUGGCCCCAGACCCACACCCUUCUCGUCGGGUCCGCAAUCCUCGAUCUGCUGCUCGGAAAUCAAAGGGCCCUGGAAAGCAAGACUUUUCAGUGGCAUAUCUGGUCCUCACGCUGAUGGUCCCAUCUCACCAAGUGGGACUCUUAAUAGCCGGGUUGCAGGUGCUGCCCCAGACCCACUGCAGGUGUGAGGUGAGGGCAUGUGCUCCCCCAGUAGGUUUCUAAAACCAAAACGUCUAACCUUUGAAACCCAUCUGGCGCCAAAGCUUUUUGGAUAAGGAAUCGUGAACUGCACAUUUCCUUAUAACACUAAAGACAUUCUCAAAGUCAGCGGGGGUGGUGGCAGGUUUAACAUACUCUCUCCUGUAUGGGCGGCUGGAUGUGCUCACAACACCUUGUGCAAAAUUAUAACACGUAGCACAACAGAGCAGGCCUAAUAGUUUUUAAUCUGGUAUUAUCUGGAUUGGACUGACAGCUCCUCCAGAGAGAAUGUCUAUUGUUUAUUUUUCCUUAUUACACAGUAUAACAUGCUCCACUGUACGAGUCUAAGGCUCAUGUAUUGUCAACUGAUUCCCACGGGAAGCUUGGUUAAUGCCCACAAUGAAUGGAAGCCGGAUGCGCAGAUGCAUUCUUUUCAGUGGCUACAGAAUAUCCCACAGGCUCAAUCAAUAACGUAAUGGAUUUAACUGCUCCCUUAUUGUUGGGCUUCCCAGUUGUUCCCAAUUUGUUUAAAAUGACUAGAGAAACUUUCUUAAGCAGAUUAUUAGUCACUCGGUAAAAAGGUACAGAAUUGAUUAAAGUGAUUUUCAUCCACUAAAAUCCUAGCACAAGUAAGUUUAGAGGUUUAGUUGGAUGCUUAAGGGGAAUCUGAAGGAAUGAACCCAGGUGAAAACAUCUUGUUUGUGGAGAGGAGGAGCUGAAGCCUAGGGUAAGAGA